UUUCUCCUGAAGGAACGUUGAAGACGACGACGUUGAUAGGUCGGGUGUGUAAGUGUAGCGAUACAUUGAGCUAACCGAUACUAAUGAACCGUGAGGCUUAACCUUACAACGCCGAAGGUGUUU
rnacentral:rRNA from 1 species